UACGUAGGGUCCGAGCGUUGUCCGGAAUUACUGGGCGUAAAGAGCUCGUAGGUGGUUUGUCACGUCGUCUGUGAAAUUCCGGGGCUUAACCUCGGGCGUGCAGGCGAUACGGGCAAUACUUGAGUGCUGUAGGGGAGACUGGAAUUCCUGGUGUAGCGGUGAAAUGCGCAGAUAUCAGGAGGAACACCAAUGGCGAAGGCAGGUCUCUGGGCAGUUACUGACGCUGAGGAGCGAAAGCAUGGGUAGCGAACAGGAUUAGAUACCCCU
rnacentral:rRNA from 1 species